rnacentral:lncRNA from 1 species
UCCCAUUCAAGCUAACCCAUAGGCGGUCUCCCGGGUGCUUGGCUUCGAAGAGAAAUAAAAACACGUCUACGGAUGCGGGCAACCCCAGGUGGUCGCACAUCACUUGGAAUGCUCGAACAAACGCCCAGCUGUUGGGGUGAAGCUGGGCGGCGGCAAUGUUGAGCUCGGUAAGGAGUUCCCUCUCGAAUCGGGUGAAGGGAAACUUCAGUUUCACCUUCUUGAAUAGCGUUGUGUAGACGAAGCAGAAGGGCCCGUCAGCACUCACCUUGUCAUCAGCACAAACGGGCAGAUCGGGGGAGCAAGGCAGCA